rnacentral:rRNA from 1 species
GACGAACGCUGGCGGCGUGCUUAACACAUGCAAGUCGAACGGAAAGGCCCUGCUUUUGUGGGGUGCUCGAGUGGCGAACGGGUGAGUAACACGUGAGUAACCUGCCCUUGACUUUGGGAUAACUUCAGGAAACUGGGGCUAAUACCGGAUAGGAGCUCCUGCUGCAUGGUGGGGGUUGGAAAGUUUCGGCGGUUGGGGAUGGACUCGCGGCUUAUCAGCUUGUUGGUGGGGUAGUGGCUUACCAAGGCUUUGACGGGUAGCCGGCCUGAGAGGGUGACCGGCCACAGUGGGACUGAGAUACGGCCCAGACUCCUACGGGAGGCAGCAGUGGGGAAUAUUGCACAAUGGGCGGAAGCCUGAUGCAGCAACGCCGCGUGAGGGAUGACGGCCUUCGGGUUGUAAACCGCUUUCGCCUGGGAAGAAGCGUGAGUGACGGUAAUGGGUAAAGAAGCACCGGCUAACUACGUG